GACGAACGCUGGCGGCGUGCUUAACACAUGCAAGUCGAACGGUGAAGCGCCUUCCUUUUUGGUGGGUGUGGAUGAGUGGCGAACGGGUGAGUAACACGUGAGUAACCUGCCCCCUUCUUCUGGAUAACCGCAUGAAAGUGUGGCUAAUACGGGAUAUUCUGGGUCUGUCGCAUGAUGGGUCUGGGAAAGAUAUUGUUUCGGUGGGGGAUGGGCUCGCGGCCUAUCAGCUUGUUGGUGGGGUGAUGGCCUACCAAGGCGGUGACGGGUAGCCGGCCUGAGAGGGUGGGCGGUCACACUGGGACUGCGACACGGCCCAGACUCCUACGGGAGGCAGCAGUGGGGAAUAUUGCACAAUGGGCGCAAGCCUGAUGCAGCGACGCCGCGUGAGGGAUGGAGGCCUUCGGGUUGUGAACCUCUUUCGCCAGUGAAGCAGGCCUGCCUCGUUUGUGGGUGGGUUGACGGUAGCUGGAUAAGAAGCGCCGGCUAACUACGUG
rnacentral:rRNA from 1 species